rnacentral:rRNA from 1 species
GGAUGAACGCUGGCGGCGUGCUUAACACAUGCAAGUCGAACGGUGAAGCAGAGCUUGCUCUGUGGAUCAGUGGCGAACGGGUGAGUAACACGUGAGCAAUCUGCCCCUGACUCUGGGAUAAGCGCUGGAAACGGCGUCUAAUACCGGAUACGAGCUGCGACCGCAUGGUCGGCAGUUGGAAAGAAUUUCGGUCAGGGAUGAGCUCGCGGCCUAUCAGCUUGUUGGUGAGGUAAUGGCUCACCAAGGCGUCGACGGGUAGCCGGCCUGAGAGGGUGACCGGCCACACUGGGACUGAGACACGGCCCAGACUCCUACGGGAGGCAGCAGUGGGGAAUAUUGCACAAUGGGCGAAAGCCUGAUGCAGCAACGCCGCGUGAGGGAUGACGGCCUUCGGGUUGUAAACCUCUUUUAGCAGGGAAGAAGCGAAAGUGACGGUACCUGCAGAAAAAGCGCCGGCUAACUACGUGCCAGCAGCCGCGGUAAUACGUAGGGCGCAAGCGUUAUCCGGAAUUAUUGGGCGUAAAGAGCUCGUAGGCGGUCUGUCGCGUCUGCUGUGAAAACCCGAGGCUCAACCUCGGGCCUGCAGUGGGUACGGGCAGACUAGAGUGCGGUAGGGGAGAUUGGAAUUCCUGGUGUAGCGGUGGAAUGCGCAGAUAUCAGGAGGAACACCGAUGGCGAAGGCAGAUCUCUGGGCCGUAACUGACGCUGAGGAGCGAAAGGGUGGGGAGCAAACAGGCUUAGAUACCCUGGUAGUCCACCCCGU